GAGACAGCAGUCGCCGCGGGAAUACGUAGGUCCCGAGCGUUGUCCGGAUUUAUUGGGCGUAAAGCGAGCGCAGGCGGUUAGAUAAGUCUGAAGUUAAAGGCUGUGGCUUAACCAUAGUACGCCUUGGAAACUGUUUAACUUGAGUGCAAGAGGGGAGAGUGGAAUUCCAUGUGUAGCGGUGAAAUGCGUAGAUAUAUGGAGGAACACCGGUGGCGAAAGCGGCUCUCUGGUCUGUCACUGACGCUGAGGCUCGAAAGCGUGGGUAGCGAACAGGAUUAGAUACCCCCGUAGUCCCUGUCUCUUAUACA
rnacentral:rRNA from 1 species